AGGAAAGUCCCCCACAAUUGGAACUGAGACACGGGUCCAAAACUCAUACGGGAGGGCAGCAGUGAGGAAAUAUUGGUCAAUGGGGCGCAGGGCAUGAGCCAGCCAAAGUAAGCGUGAAGGAUGACUGCCCUAUGGGUUGUAAACUUCUUUUAUAUGGGAAUAAAGUUUUCCACGUGUGGAAUUUUGUAUGUACCAUAUGAAUAAGGAUCGGCUAACUCCGUGCCAGCAGCCGCGGUAAUACGGAGGAUCCGAGCGUUAUCCGGAUUUAUUGGGUUUAAAGGGAGCGUAGGUGGACAGUUAAGUCAGUUGUGAAAGUUUGCGGCUCAACCGUAAAAUUGCAGUUGAUACUGGCUGUCUUGAGUACAGUAGAGGUGGGCGGAAUUCGUGGUGUAGCGGUGAAAUGCUUAGAUAUCACGAAGAACUCCGAUUGCGAAGGCAGCUCACUGGACUGCAACUGACACUGAUGCUCGAAAGUGUGGGUAUCAAACAGGAUUAGAUACCCUGGUAGUCCACACAGUAAACGAUGAAUACUCGCUGUUUGCGAUAUACAGUAAGCGGCCAAGCGAAAGCAUUAAGUAUUCCACCUGGGGAGUACGCCGGCAACGGUGAAACUCAAAGGAAUUGACGGGGGCCCGCACAAGCGGAGGAACAUGUGGUUUAAUUCGAUGAUACGCGAGGAACCUUACCCGGGCUUAAAUUGCAUUUGAAUAAUCUGGAAACAGGUUAGCCGCAAGGCAAAUGUGAAGUGCUGCAUGGUUGUCGUCAGCUCGUGCCGUGAGGUGUCGGCUUAAGUGCCAUAACGAGCGCAACCCUUAUCUUUAGUUACUAACAGGUCAUGCUGAGGACUCUAGAGAGACUGCCGUCGUAAGAUGUGAGGAAGGUGGGGAUGACGUCAAAUCAGCACGGCCCUUACGUCCGGGGCUACACACGUGUUACAAUGGGGGGUACAGAAGGCAGCUACCUGGUGACAGGAUGCUAAUCCCAAAAGCCUCUCUCAGUUCGGAUCGAAGUCUGCAACCCGACUUCGUGAAGCUGGAUUCGCUAGUAAUCGCGCAUCAGCCAUGGCGCGGUGAAUACGUUCCCGGGCCUUGUACACACCGCCCGUCAAGCCAUGAAAGCCGGGGGUACCUGAAGUACGUAACCGCAAGGAGCGUCCUAGGGUAAAACUGGUAAUUGGGGCUAAGUCGUAACAAGGUAGCCGUACCGGAAGGUGCGGCUG
rnacentral:rRNA from 1 species